UGUAAGGUACGGGCAGUUAAAGAGUUAAUUCCCUGGUUACUGCAAACUACCUUUUUUGGUGUGGCCCUCUGAGGGGGAGGGGAGGAGGUGUAAGCCCCAGGGGUCUUUGCGUUGGAGGGGAGGGGGGUGAAGCCGUGUGGGAGACACGGGCUCUGUUCCUUCCUGCCCGGCGGAGAAAGCACGUGGUCCUCCUGCAGUUUACUGUUCACCAGAUGGACUUGAACUGUGUCAACGGUUUAUGGGUGUUCGGCCCGGUUCUGUGACGAAUGGGAUGGGGGACCCACGGACCCAUGACCCGGGAAAAGGGAAGAGGGAAAAAGGGCAGCACCACUGAACUGGUGAGUAUCCUGAGGAAGAUGUUACGCUUUCAUCUCUGACAAAUGAAAAAGAGACGGAACAGAGACUUUCUCAGUCUUCUGGUAGCAAGACUGGUAAAUUACACCUAGUGCUGAAAUAUGGAAGAAUAAGUUUAUAAUCUGCAUUUGUGCAGACUGUAUAUAACCUCAUGCUGGCCCUAUGUUUUUAUGAGCUUGUGAUCUUUAAACAAUUGCAUAUUUUAAUUGCAUUUGGUCAAGGAUGUGUUUGAUCUCGGGGGCUUAUACAACAUGGUUAAUUUAACCUAAAUUUUUAGGUGAGGUUGAAUAUAUUUAAGGCUGGCUUUCUUCAUCAGGUCAUUUAUUUCUUUUCACAGACUGUACAGAGGCUUGCCUUUUCUUAUGCACUUACGAUGUGAAGUCAUAGAAAAAUAUGAACUAAUUGUAGCUCUUAAUUAUUAGAAGUAAUCACUACUGUUUUCAUUGAAACAACUAGUGAAUACAAAAGCUAUGAAAUUGUGUUAUGGCACUUCCCAUAGGAACACGAAAUGGUGGUUUAUGAAUAUCAUUAAUAUAAUAUGGAAGUGAUCUGUUUGGUUUUGCUCUUCUAUUUGGGUUAACAUUAGUCAGUCAGUCAGAUGUUACUAAUGAGCAAGUUGGUGAAAGCUUAUCCAGCUGCUGAGAAGGUCAAUGAAGUGAUAGUCCUCUUUUUCUCUUUACUUAGUCUGCAUCUAGAAAACAGCAUUAAAAAAAAUGUUUUCACUGAUUAACUGAAGUCAUCUUUGUAUUAAUAAGGGAAUAUGAAGUAUGUUUCUGCAACGUUCUCUAGAAGAUGAUU